GACAGACUGUCGGCUUCAUGGGGACGGAAGUGCCGGAGGAGUAGAUGAAGACUAGUGAGCCGAGUUUAAGAACGCUCAAGAAGAAACCAAGACCAGAUCUCUUUAUGUCUUUAAUAUUUUCCAGCGGCGAUGGAAUCACAUGAAAAAGAAAUAGGUGUUACUAGUAAUUUUGUAUUAGUGGUGAUCAUAGAGUACUGAAGGAAAAAAAAUCCUGCACAAAAUAUUACUCUGUGAGUCAUGCAAAUUGGAUUUAUGUUGUAAGAGAGCAAAUAGUGCCCCAAAGAAUCUGUAAAUAGAAAAAAAAGAGUCUUGUUUUUGAAUUGACCAUUUCUAAAGCUGUUGUUUGACGCCCUAAUUCAUUCUCAGAGAUUGUUUUUGAGGCUUUCACAUAGUAGGCACUCAAUAAUUAUAUGUUGAAAGACUUCUGAUUGAAGACAGGAAUUGUAUCCAUUUUUAUAUGAAAAAAUCAGGUUUAACUUGAAUCUUAGUCACAGAAUAAAUGAAAGAGUAGUAUAAUAAUUAUUUUAUUAUAAUUAUUAUUAUCUAUCAAGUGCCUUCAAUAUGUCCAUCAUUGUAAUGUCCAUGGACUAGUAGGUAUUUCUCUGUGAUAAUAGGACUUUCCAGAAGUCUCAGUGAAUUUCUUAGGAACAAAGCGAAUCAACUAUUUGAUCAGUAAGCAUCUGUUAUCAAUACUGUAAAAUUUGGUGAAAGAAUUAUGUUCUAUUAGUGGUAAUAUUGGUCUUGUUUGCAAGGUAAACAUUUUAAAUAAGAUAAACACAUAAAAACAUUUAAAAAUUUUCCCUAAAAGACUUAACCAUCCAGAAAGAAUUAUUUUCAGUUUGC
rnacentral:lncRNA from 1 species